GGGUGGAAUGUGGAGGAUGGACAUUUUAAAAAGUAGCUGAUUAAGUAGUAAGUUAACUGAAAAAGGAGUAAAUUAAGUAGCUGAAUUGUCAAGUUUUCCCUUCUAUAGAUAUGGACAAGAUGCAGAAGAGAAAUCGAGGCAGUUACUCGGAGACAGACGGCUUUCUACCUCUGCCCACAAGACCUAUAGGUUUGCAGCCAGCAUCUCAUGAACCGCCGAACUGAGCCCCCACAUCAGGCUGAUUACAUGUGUUCACCCUUGAGGUGAUAUGAUCUCGUGGCCCCCGGCACGUCUGCACUGAGGCACAAACCGGACGCCUGUAAAGAGCUCUGCAGGCUCCAUGGGCCUCACUGCUGAAGGCAUGAAAAUGGCCAGGCAGCUUAACAUCACAGACUUUUCACAUAUCCUGGUCUCAGAUAUCAAAACAUGACAAGAAAGGCUGUUUUUUAGAGGUAUUUCCUGAUGAAUGAAACCUAGGAAGUACUGGAAAUCUUAGGGACGUCUGAUCUUGUAGGGAUUUUUCCAAACACCACCCCCUUCUUCCUCUUUGCCAAAGAGAAGAUCAUUCUCAUUGGGGCAGAGGACAGAGAGACAGCAAGUAGCAGAAGAGUGCUGUGGCCUCUGCUUCCUGAAAUCCUUCCUGGGAUAGUUCAGCCAUGGGAGUGGGCUUCUAGUUUGCUCUUCUAACUAAAAAACCAUCAGCCCUGUCUCUGUGUGAUGCUCCCAUCACAGCAGCUGAUGUCCUCCAUGUCACACGGGGGCACUAUGAAGUGACCUGGGUCUGAAGAGGAGCUUGGCUGAAAUGGAAAAGAACAGGAUGUGGCUGUUGGAGUCUUUUUGUAAAAAAUAAUGACAACAUGACUGUUGUUAAAUGAACACCGAAGAAAUGAUUAAGCUCCGUAUUCAAAAACCUUUUGAUAUUGUGCGAGACUAAAACAACAAAAAUCCCCAGUAAAGUGUUGCUGGUGUGAUUAGUCAAGGGCCACACCACCAUAGCCCUGCUGAGCUUGGUCUGGUCAAUGGAGUCUUGCCAACGGCACGUCCGAAGCCUCUCACCGGUCUCCCCCUCAGGCCCCACUUGGGCUUCUGCAGUACCUCGUCCUGUCUUCCUCACUGGCAAGCUUUCUCCACGCUCCACAGGCAGCCAGCUAGCCAGACACUUCUGAAUGCAGAUGCUUUCAUGGCCCCCUUGUAAUGACUGAGUGGUUCCCCGCCUGUACAGAAAGUGAAAGCCCCAAUGUUCUCUGUCCUGUUGCCCUUCUGCUUCACAUUCUUCGGAGAACUUAGCUUCCUGUAUGCUUUCAAUCCUCUUUAGUUUUGUCUGUUCUCUUCCCUCUUCCCCUAAUCUCUCAGGGCUUUUUAAACUUGGCCUAAGUGUCAAGACCUCGAAGACAACUUCUUAGAAAGUGCAGCCAUCCUGGUGCUAGAACAUGCAGCAUGGCCUGACUGCUGGGAGCACAGGCUGGUGCCUGAUGAUGUGGGCUGUCACUCUGACCUGGCCACUGACCGUGUUACUUAGGCCCACUAUUUUGUUCACAUCAUGCUUCAAUUUCUCAUCUAUGAAAUGACAGGAGUCAGGCGUACCUCACUGGCUUACUGUGAAGGUUGCAUUCAAACAGCUCCUGGCAUGGAGCAAGUAUGUAAUACAUUUUACUAGCUAUUACAACACUUAGAGCGUUCUUUUCAUUGGUGUCUCAUUUGCCAACCCUAAGAUCUCUUGAGGUUGGGGAGUAGCUCCAGUCAUCUGUGAAACCUCAGAGCAGGUGGAGAGCAGGUACUUAUAAACAUGCCUGAGGUGAACAUAAAGCCUGGAAGACAGAUCUGGAAACAGCAUUCCAGGGAGAGAUUAUGACACGAGAACAUAAGAAGGAAUCUGUGUGAGAGGACGGAGGAAGCAAAACAGGGAGAAAACAAGGCUGCAGAAGAAAGGGAAUGCUGAUGGUCUGGGGCCAAGAGAAAUCCCAAAUGGCUCUGUCAAAGGGCUGCAUGGAGAACAUAGCAGCAAGAUGAUGAUGCAAGAGAAUCUGGCACAGAAAAUGCCUGUUGGCGACGAGACUGGUUAGAGAAAACAGCCAUUAUUCAUUAGUCGCUGGAAGAGCUACUAUUCCCAAACCCUUCUUCAUUAUAAAGAAAAGGCGAUUUUAUGAUCACAAAGAGGCCAUGUCCUUUUUUUAUUGACAAUUCAAUCUCUACAUACAUACAGUAUUGCACAGAUAAUAAGUGGGCUGACAAUCAUUAACAAUAUGGACUCAGGAGCACGUACAUACAGUUACUGCUCUGGGCGGUGGUGUACUCUGUGCCAGCUACUUCAGUAAACACGAGGGACAUAAAUAGGACGGCUACUUCAAUACAAAGUCAGCUUU